GUUACAAUGGGGGGUACGAGAGGGCCGCUACCACGCAAGUGGAUGCCAAUCCCCAAAACCUCUCUCAGUUCGGAUUGAAGUCUGCAACCCGACUUCAUGAAGCUGGAUUCGCUAGUAAUCGCGCAUCAGCCACGGCGCGGUGAAUACGUUCCCGGGCCUUGUACACACCGCCCGUCAAGCCAUGGGAGCCGGGGGUACCUGAAGUGCGUAACCGCAAGGAGCGCCCUAGGGUAAAACUGGUGACUGGGGCUAAGUCGUAACAAGGUAGC
rnacentral:rRNA from 1 species